UAUAUUCUCCGAAAGGGGGGGAUGAGAAUCCCCGACCGGGGUUCGACAACUGGCGCAGCCAGUUGGACAGACUGUGAGCAAAGCGAACAGGCUGCCCGCAGGGCGAGCGAAGCGAGUCAAUCCCCCCCGUAGCUAUA
rnacentral:sRNA from 1 species